rnacentral:rRNA from 1 species
GGCCGCGGGAAUUCGAUUCAGGCCUAACACAUGCAAGUCGAACGGCAGCACGGGAGCUUGCUCCUGGUGGCGAGUGGCGAACGGGUGAGUAAUACAUCGGAACGUACCCAGUAGUGGGGGAUAACGCACCGAAAGGUGCGCUAAUACCGCAUACGACCUACGGGUGAAAGCGGGGGACCGUAAGGCCUCGCGCUAUUGGAGCGGCCGAUGUCUGAUUAGCUAGUUGGUGAGGUAAAGGCUCACCAAGGCUUCGAUCAGUAGCUGGUCUGAGAGGACGAUCAGCCACACUGGGACUGAGACACGGCCCAGACUCCUACGGGAGGCAGCAGUGGGGAAUAUUGGAAAGUGGGCGCAAGCCUGAUCCAGCCAUGCCGCGUGAGUUAGGGGGUCUUCGGAUUGUAAAGCUCUUUGGCGGGGACGAUAAUGAC